rnacentral:rRNA from 1 species
GAUGAACGCUGGCGGCGUGCCUAAUACAUGCAAGUCGAGCGAACGGACGAGAAGCUUGCUUCUCUGAUGUUAGCGGCGGACGGGUGAGUAACACGUGGAUAACCUACCUAUAAGACUGGGAUAACUUCGGGAAACCGGAGCUAAUACCGGAUAAUAUUUUGAACCGCAUGGUUCAAAAGUGAAAGACGGUCUUGCUGUCACUUAUAGAUGGAUCCGCGCUGCAUUAGCUAGUUGGUAAGGUAACGGCUUACCAAGGCAACGAUGCAUAGCCGACCUGAGAGGGUGAUCGCACACACUGGAGCUGAGACACGGUACAGACUCCUACGGGAGGCAGCAGUAGGGAAUCUUCCGCAAUGGGCGAAAGCCUGACGGAGCAACGCCGCGUGAGUGAUGAAGGUCUUCGGAUCGUAAAACUCUGUUAUUAGAGAAGAACAUAUGUGUAAGUAACUGUGCACAUCUUGACAGUACCUAAUCAGAAAGCCACGGCUAACUACGUG